CUCCAAUGAUGAUACCGCCAUGCUAAUACUGAUGCACCAGGCAGAUAGAAAUAUCUGUUUGGGUGCAAGUGAGUUCAACUCACCUUCUCACGCUGAUGGUAUCAGUGUGUGCUGAGGAGA